CGACGUAAAUAAUCUACCCUGAUGUCUGGGAUAACCAGCCGAAAGGCUGACUAAUACCGGCUAUAUGAUUUUCUGUAGGGAGAAUCAGGAAAGGUGGCCUCUUCUUGAAAGCUAUCGCAUUGGGAUGAGUUUGCGUACCAUUAGCUAGUUGGUGGGGUAAUGGCCCACCAAGGCUACGAUGGUUAGCGGGUCUGAGAGGAUGAUCCGUCACACUGGCACUGGAACACGGGCCAG
rnacentral:rRNA from 1 species